ACCUCUCCGGUGGCUUAGUGGUUAGAGCCUCCGUCUCGGAUGCGGGAGGUUGCGGGUUCAAACUCCGGUCGAGUCGCA